UAAAUAAUAUAAAUAACAUGGCACUUGAAAACGGACAAAAUAAUAAUGAGUCAAUCGUAAUUCGAGAUAUUCAGAUUGACACAACUGAUUGCACUGUGGACUGCAAUUGUUCGAUAUUUUCAUGUAAUUUAAAAUGUUCCUUGCCUCGGUAGGAUAUUCCAGAGCUGAGUAAACGAGAAAUGCGGAAAUCACAGAGAAAUCUUAUAUCCGCGCGCAACAUCGAUUCGUUUACGAUAACAAAGAAAGGGACUUUUGUCAACGUGGAAAUAAUUCAAUGUAUGGUAAACAAACAAUCUUGGGAAACAAUUCAAGCACGUGAAGAGUCAACAAGGACCAAGAUUCAAUGGUAGCGUUCCGAUGCACCAAAAUCAAACGCGACA
rnacentral:misc_RNA from 1 species